GUGUUUUUCUGCACCUUACAAGACUGUUUUUUUUUCUGUUGUUGUUUUGUAUUUCAGUGUUCCAUUAUUUAAAUCAUGAACCCGUACCACGCUGCACUUUGGUCCACACCUUCUUCCACCUACGAAAGCCAUUACAAUGUUUGAGAAGCUGGUCUCCAGCAGACUGUCGCCAACCUGUAGAGAGGCCAUGCCAAAGUCUGCUACCCUGAUGUUGUUCUUCUCAUCUAACAACAGGUUCUCUGGCUUCAAAUCUCUGUGGCUGGGAGGGAGAGAGGGGACGAAGGACAGGGAGGGAGACAGAGUGAGAGAAAGCAAAUGGACCUGAGCCCUAGGACCAUGCCCCAGGACUACCUGACAUGAUGACUCCUUGCUGUCCCCAGUCCACCUGGCCAUGCUGCUGCUCCAGUUUCAACUGGCCUGGGCCCUAGGACCAUGUCCCAGGACUACCUGACAUGAUGACUCCUUGCUGUCCCCAGUCCACCUGGCCAUGCUGCUGCUCCAGUUUCAACUGUUCUGCCUUACUAUUAUUCAACCAUGCUGGUCAUUUAUGAACAUUUGAACAUCUUGGCCACGUUCUGUUAUAAUCUCCACCCGGCACAGCCAGAAGAGGACUGGCCACCCCACAUAUGCUCUCUCUAAUUCUCUCUUUCUUUCUCUCUCUCGGAGGACCUGAGCCCUAGGACCGUGCCCCAGGACUACCUGACAUGAUGACUCCUUGCUGUCCCCAGUCCACCUGACUGUGCUGCUGCUCCAGUUUCAACUGUUCUGCCUUAUUAUUAUUCGACCAUGCUGGUCAUUUAUGAACAUUUGAACAUCUUGGUCAUGUUCUGUUAUAAUCUCUACCCGGCACAGCCAGAAGAGGACUGGCCACCCCACAUAGCCUGGUUCCUCUCUAGGUUUCUUCCUAGGUUUUGGCCUUUCUAGGGAGUUUUUCCUAGCCACCGUGCUUUUACACCUGCAUUGUUUGCUGUUUGGGGUUUUAGGCUGGGUUUCUGUACAGCACUUUGAGAUAUCAGCUGAUGUACGAAGGGCUAUAUAAAUAAAUUUGAUUUGA